CCUACGGGUGGCAGCAGUGAGGAAUAUUGGUCAAUGGACGAGAGUCUGAACCAGCCAAGUAGCGUGAAGGAUGAAUGCCCUAUGGGUUGUAAACUUCGUUUAUAUGGGAGUAAAAUGUUUCACGUGUGGGAUUUUGUAUGUACGAUAUGAAUAAGGAUAGGCUAACUCCGUGCCCGCAGCCGCGGUAAUCCGGAGGAUCCGAGCGUUAUCCGGCUUUGUGGGGGUUAAUGGGAACGGAGGUGGAUUUUUAAGUAAGUUGUGAAUGUUUGCGGCUCAACCGUAAAAUUGCAGUUGAAACUGGCAGUCUUGAGUACAGUAGAGGUGAGCGGAAUUCGUGGUGUAGCGGUGAAAUGCUUAGAUAUCACGAAGAACUCCGAUUGCGAAGGCAGUUCACUGGACUGCAACUGACACUGAGGCUCGAAAGUGUGGGUAUCAAACAGGAUUAGAUACCCCUGUAGUG
rnacentral:rRNA from 1 species